rnacentral:rRNA from 1 species
GCUAAUACCGAAUGUGGCUUCAAUCCUGCAUGGGAUGGAGGCUAAAGAUUUAUCGCUAGGGGAUGAGCUCGCGUCCCAUUAGGUAGUUGGUGAGGUAACGGCUCACCAAGCCGACGAUGGGUAGCUGGUCUGAGAGGAUGGUCAGCCACACUGGGACUGAGACACUGCCCAGACUCCUACGGGAGGCUGCAGUCGAGAAUCUUGGGCAAUGCGCGAAAGCGUGACCCAGCAAUGCCGCGUGUGUGAUGAAGGCCUUCGGGUCGUAAAGCACUGUCUCCCGUGACGAAAUUUGACGGUAGCGGGGAAGGAAGCCACGGCUAACUACGUGCCAGCAGCCGCGGUAAUACGUAGCCCCGCGAGCGUUGUUCGGAUUUAUUGGGCGUAAAGGGUCUGUAGGAGGUUCGUUAAAUACGAGGUGAAAUCCCGAAGCUCAACUUCGGAACUGCCUUGUAGACUGACGGACUAGAGUACCGGAGAGGUAAGCGGAAUACCAGGUGUAGCGGUGGAAUGCGUAGAUAUCUGGUAGAACACCAAUAGCGAAGGCAGCUUGCUGGACGGAAACUGACUCUGAAAGACGAAAGCAUGGGGAGCAAACAGGAUUAGAUACCCUGGUAGUCCAUGCCGUAAACGUUGUCAACUUGAUGUGGGGGGAUUUAGUCCUCUCCGUAUCGAAGCUAACGCGAUAAGUUGACCGCCUGGGGACUACGGCCGCAAGGCUAAAACUCAAAGGAAUUGACGGGGGCCCGCACAAGCGGUGGAGCAUGUGGCUUAAUUCGAGGCAACGCGAAGAACCUUACCUGGUCUUGAAAUAUAUCGGACCGCCUGUGAAAGCAGGUUUCCCUUCGGGGCUGAUAUACAGGUGCUGCAUGG